rnacentral:rRNA from 1 species
UACGUAGGGUGCGAGCGUUAAUCGGAAUUACUGGGCGUAAAGCGUGCGCAGGCGGUGCACCAAGCUCGAUGUGAAAGCCCCGGGCUUAACCUGGGAAUUGCAUUGAGGACUGGUGUGCUCGAGUGCGGCAGAGGGGGGUGGAAUUCCACGUGUAGCAGUGAAAUGCGUAGAGAUGUGGAGGAACACCGAUGGCGAAGGCGGCUCACUGGCCCGGUACUGACGCUGAGGUGCGAAAGCGUGGGGAGCAAACAGG